rnacentral:tRNA from 9 species
GCCGGAAUAGCUCAGUUGGUAGAGCAGAGGACUGAAAAUCC